AUACAUGCAGUCGAGCGAACAGACAAGGAGCUUGCUCCUUUGACGUUAGCGGCGGACGGGUGAGUAACACGUGGGUAACCUACCUAUAAGACUGGGAUAACUUCGGGAAACCGGAGCUAAUACCGGAUAAUAUUUCGAACCGCAUGGUUCGAUAGUGAAAGAUGGUUUUGCUAUCACUUAUAGAUGGACCCGCGCCGUAUUAGCUAGUUGGUAAGGUAACGGCUUACCAAGGCGACGAUACGUAGCCGACCUGAGAGGGUGAUCGGCCACACUGGAACUGAGACACGGUCCAGACUCCUACGGGAGGCAGCAGUAGGGAAUCUUCCGCAAUGGGCGAAAGCCUGACGGAGCAACGCCGCGUGAGUGAUGAAGGUCUUCGGAUCGUAAAACUCUGUUAUUAGGGAAGAACAUACGUGUAAGUAACUAUGCACGUCUUGACGGUACCUAAUCAGAAAGCCACGGCUAACUACGUGCCAGCAGCCGCGGUAAUACGUAGGUGGCAAGCGUUAUCCGGAAUUAUUGGGCGUAAAGCGCGCGUAGGCGGUUUUUUAAGUCUGAUGUGAAAGCCCACGGCUCAACCGUGGAGGGUCAUUGGAAACUGUAAAACUUGAGUGCAGAAGAGGAGAGUGGAAUUCCAUGUGUAGCGGUGAAAUGCGCAGAGAUAUGGAGGAACACCAGUGGCGAAGGCGACUUUCUGGUCUGUAACUGACGCUGAUGUGCGAAAGCGUGGAGAUCAAACAGGAUUAGAUACCCGGGUAGUCCACGCCGUAUACGAUGAUUGCUAAGUGUUAGGGGGUUUCCGCCCCCUUAGUGCUGCAGCUAAUGUAUUAAGUACUCCGGCACGCGGAAUACGAACGGCCAGGG
rnacentral:rRNA from 1 species